GUUUUAAUAAUUUAAAUAAAAUAUUGAUUUUGUAAAUCAAAAUUGAGUAAUCACUCUUAAAUCA
rnacentral:tRNA from 1 species